GAUGGAUCAUUUCAAUGAAAAAAAAACCUUUUUGGGUGUGGCUCGCACCUUCCAAAAAUGAGUUCUUUUUUAACACGGUUGCAUCGGUCGAGCCUGUCCAACACCGCGAAAGUGGAGUUGCGACGGUCUCGACAAUUUACACAAACACUUUUUUUCUGCUGGGAUUGGAAAGACAAUUUACGACUGGUAAUUCGGUCAAUUAAAUUAAAAAACAACUUUUGGCAACGGAUCUCUUGGUUCUCCCAUCGAUGAAGAACGCAGCGAAUUGCGAUAAGUAAUGUGAAUUGCAGAAGUGAAUCAUCGAAUCUUUGAACGCACCUUGCGCUCCCCAAGAUCUAAUCUGGGGAGCAUGCCUGUUUGAGGGCCGCGAAUUGUUUCGAACCGAGCAUUUUUGAAGUAAUUUAUUACGGAAAAAAUGUUCGGAUCGGUGUUGAGGUUUAUUUUGCCAUUCAUCGUGGCUGCCUCUAAAUACAUUAGCGCUACCAUUUGAUAGGCAAAAACGGACGAAAGCUCGAAUUUCUGCUUUCUCUUUCCUGCCGGGUUUUGAUAACAUCAGGACUUCGGAGGCGAGGAGAGGGCAAGAGCCGAGGACGUUUUUGCUGUUUGGCGUGCUUCUGAACCCAACCCAUGCCUCCGUUCGCGGAGGAAUGGAUUUUUUAAAUAAUUCAUCGGCCUCAGAUUGGUAGGACUACCCGCUGAACUUAAGCAUAUCAAUAAGCGGAGGAAAAGAAACUAACAAGGAUUCCCCUAGUAACGGCGAGUGAAGAGGGAAGAGCCCACGAUUGAAAGCUGGCGUCUUCGACGUCCGCAUUGUAAUCUCAAGAAGUGUUUUCCGCUUCGGACCAUGCCUAAGUCCCUUGGAAAAGGGCAUCAUAGAGGGUGAAAAUCCCGUACAUGGCAUGGAGAGUCCGAAGCUUUGUGAUACAUUUUCUCAGAGUCGAGUUGUUUGGGAAUGCAGCUCAAAAUGGGUGGUAAAUGCCAUCUAAGGCUAAAUAUUGGGGAGAGACCGAUAGCGAACAAGUACAGUGAUGGAAAGAUGAAAAGAACUUUGAAAAGAGAGUUAAAAAGUACGUGAAAUUGCCAAAAGGGAAGGGUAGGAGGUCAGAGAUGCGUCCUAGGAUUGAGCCUUGCUUUUGCUUGGUGUUUUUUCUAGGUCGCAGGCCAACGUCGGUUUUGGGCACUGGAGAAGGGUAGGAGGAACGUGGCACCCCUCGGGGUGUGUUAUAGCCUCCUACUGGAUACAGCGACCGAGACCGAGGACAGCAGCGUACUCGCAAGAGCGGGCCUUCGGGCACCUUUACGCUUAGGGCGUUGGCAUAAUGGCCCUCUACCACCCGUCUUGAAACACGGA
rnacentral:rRNA from 1 species